CAAUAGCGUAUAUUAAAGUUGUUGCGGUUAAAAAGCUCGUAGUUGGAUUUCUGCCGAGGACGACCGGUCCGCCCUCUGGGUGUGUAUCUGGUUUGGCCUGGGCAUCUUCUUGGAGAACGUAGCUGCACUUGACUGUGUGGUGCGGUGUCCAGGACUUUUACUUUGAGGAAAUGAGAGUGUUCCAAGCAGGCAAUCGCCGUGAAUAUGAUAGCAUGGAAUAAUAGCACAGGACUCUUGGUUCAAUGCUGUUGGUUGAUUGAACUAGAGUAAUCAUAAUAAGGAUAGUUGGGGGUAUUCGUAUUUAACUGUCAGAGGUGAAAUUCUUGGAUUUUUUAAAGACGAACAAUUGCGAAGGCAUCUACCCAGGAUGUUUUUGUUGA
rnacentral:rRNA from 1 species